rnacentral:rRNA from 1 species
GACGAACGCUGGCGGCGUGGAUUAGGCAUGCAAGUCGAACGGUAUGGACCUUUCGGGGUUCAGAGAGUGGCGAACGGGUGAGUAACACGUAGGUAAUCUACCCUCAAGACGGGGACAACCCAGGGAAACUUGGGCUAAUACCGGAUGUGUGUAGUGGCUAUUUUUCUGAUUAUCAUUAUUUACGUAAGUGAGUAAUAAUAAGAAGGGAAAGUGGUUAUUACAUAAAAGGUGGCGUAAGCUGCCGCUUGGGGAUGAGCCUGCGCCCUAUUAGUUAGUUGGUGAGGUAACGGCUUACCAAGGCGAUGAUAGGUAGGCGGCCUUAACGGGUGGUCGCCCACACUGGGAUUGAGAUACGGCCCAGACUCCUACGGGAGGCAGCAGUCGAGAAUAGUCUACAAUGGACGGAAGUCUGAUAGUGCGACGCCGCGGUGAACGAAGAAAUCCCUUCGGGGUGUAAAAGUUCUUUUAUACGUGAGCAGUGUCCUUUAUAUUAAUAGUAUAAGGGAGAGAAUUAGCGUAUGAAUAAGCAAC